GAUGAACGCUGGCGGCGUGCCUAAUACAUGCAAGUCGAGCGAACAGACGAUGAGCUUGCUCCUCUGACGUUAGCGGCGGACGGGUGAGUAACACGUGGAUAACCCACCUUUAAGACUGGGAUAACUUCGUGAAACCGGAGCUAAUUCCGUAUAAUAUCUUGAACCGCAUGGUUCAAUAGUUAAAGCCGGUUUUGCUGUCACUUAUAGCUGGAUCCGGGCUGCUUUAGCUAGUUGGUAAGGUAACGGCUUACCAAGGCAACGCUGCGUAGCCGACCUGAGAGGGUGAACGGCGACACUGGAACUGAGAGACGGUCCAGGCACCUACGGGAGGCAGAGGUAGGGACUCUUCGGAGAUGGGCGAAAGCCUGAACGAGCAACGCAGCGUUGGUGAUGAAGGGCUUCGGAUCGUAAAACUCUGUUAUUAGGGAAGAACGAAUGUGGAAGUAACUAUGCACGUCUUGACGGUACCUAAACAAGAAGCAACGGCUAACUACGUG
rnacentral:rRNA from 1 species